GACGAACGCUGGCGGCGUGCUUAACACAUGCAAGUCGAACGGAAAGGCCCUGCUUUUGUGGGGUGCUCGAGUGGCGAACGGGUGAGUAACACGUGAGUAACCUGCCCUUGACUUUGGGAUAACUUCAGGAAACUGGGGCUAAUACCGGAUAGGAGCUCCUGCUGCAUGGUGGGGGUUGGAAAGUGUCGGCGGUUGGGGAUGGAUUCGCGGGUUAUCGGCUUGUUGGUGGGGUAGUGGCUUUCCAAGGCUUUGAAGGGUAGCCCGCAUGAGAGGGUGGACGGCCACGAUGGGCCUGAGGGAGGGACCAGACUCGUACGGGAGGCAGCAGUGGGAAGUAUUGCACAAUGGGCGGGAGCCUGAGACAGAAGCGCCGCGUGCGGAAUGACGGCCUUCGGGUUGUGAACCGCUGUCGCCUGUGACGAAGCGUGAGUGACGGUAAUGGGUAAAGAAGCACCGGCUAACUACGUG
rnacentral:rRNA from 1 species